CUUCCCACCCUCUCUCCUCCCCUGUGUGCAUCUGUGGGACAGCCUGGCCACAGCAGCCUCCUCCCUCCCCUCAGGUGUUUGGCACUCUGGAGCAAGUCAAGAAGAAGUACAUGCUGGACGAUUACUCAGUCAGUCAGGUCACCAUGGAGGACGUCUUCCUGAGCUUCGCCUGCCCUGUGCCCCUGGUCCAAAGUGAAGACCAACGAGAGCAAGCAGAGCAGGCGGGCUCCUCAUCGUGCUCGCUGCCUCCUUCCCUGCCUCCCUCCCUGCCUCCCUCAGAGCCUGUCCUGCUGUAAUAAGGACAGACCAGUGCAAGGUUGGCCCAGGUGCGCAUGGCCUGCCCUGGGUUUCCAGGGCUUACAGAGGCAGCUCUCGGCCCAGCUAGCUCAGCACAGGGCUGUCCCCCUAACUGCAGUGCACGGAGCAGAGUGGGGCCCACUGGAGAACUUAAGAGGCCUGCUGGAGAACCCAGAAUCCCCUGCCCAGAUGGUUUGUCCAUCCAGUGCACUCCCUCCCAGGGCAGGCCAUGCCGCCCAACGCACCCUGAGACGCGAGAUGCAGCAAAGCAGCGGCUCUGCAGAACUGCAGGGGGAGUUUGGAUGGGUGCGUGGAGGUUUCCACACAUGUGCAGAUCCUUUGGAAAGCAGGAUAGAGCCAGAAACAGAGAGGAGGGUGCCCAUAGGCCAGGGUGGGGCUGGCUUCCAUGAUCACAUGCAAGAGUGAAGCUUCAUGGAGACCACGAUUCUAAACUCACACCUGGCCUCACAGGUGGUAAUGUCACUGUUCUUCUGAAGGAAGGAGGAAAUAUUGACAAGUUUGCUAGCCUAAGUCAGGAUGUUACAAUAUUUAAAUAUUUGGAUGUGCGCUUUCAUCUUCUUCCCUGGCUCCUGCAAAUUUAGGGCUGCGUGUGAUCCUAUAUCCACCCAUGAAGUGGACAGCGCCCCACCUCCCACAUGCGUGGACGGGCUUAGAGGCAGCCAGUAACUUCCCACGUCAACAGGCAGGGGAGCCAGGGUUGCACUGGGGCAGAGGCUCUCGCAUUGGGGUUCCCAGCAGCAGCAGCACCAUCAGGAAACUUGUUAGAAAUGUAGGUUCUUGGGCCCCACCCAAAACUUACUGAAUCAGAAAUGCCUGGGGCAGGGCCAGCAAUCCGAGUUGCAAGAAGCCCUAUAGCAGGUGCUCUGGCGCAGCUCCAGCAUGAGAACCACUGAGCAGGGGCCCCAUGGGCGCCAGACCAUCGCACUGUCCAGAUGCAGAUGGAUGUGGCCGCAUGCCUUUGUCAUGUACACUCAUCUCUCUUCUGAGACAGGCUCCAUCCAGCGGCCUUUCUCUCUCUGUGGAGCUCACUCUGCCCCUUGCCACAGGCCCCUCAGCUCCCCUCUGGGAAGUGCAGAUGCUGGUCUCUGCCCCUUCUCAGCCAGGACUCAGGAAAGUGUCAUGCACAGGCCUUGCCUAUGCUUCCUGCACCCCUUGCCCAGAACAACAGCGUCGCACACCCAUGGUCACCAACCCACCCUCCUCAGUCCUCGUUUCAGGUGACUGCUCCCUGUGAUGAAAGCCACUCCCUAGGCUCCCACAUCCAGCUCUCAUUCCUCCCAUGCUCCUCUCUGCCUCCACUGAAGGCCCAUCUUCUUCUCUGAAUGUGGGAUUUCUCAGGCUCCCAAGCUACUUCACUUUCCCUUCUCUCCUCCGCCCCUCACUACCCAUAACGUUUUCAACCGACACCUCAUUCCACCAGGAAUUUCCCUGAGCUCCUAACAGUUUAGACUUUUCCAACAAGGUCUCACCUUCCUGAAGCCCAGUGGGAAACGGGCCCACACCCUGGAGGAGCCACUUAUCACCCCGGGGCAGCCCUGGAGGCUCCCACUGCCAGCGCAGGGUGUGGGGCGAAAGCAGGCAUGGCUGCAGUCAAGACAACUCCUGCUCCCUGAAAAAGAAAUUUGCCUCUCCAUAUUGAAAGGAGAGUGAUCAGGACACAAAGCACAGAAUAGAGCUAAACGACAAGGAUGCUGUUCUAGAUUCUAGAGGCAGCUGGUGUGGCUAAUGUGCUCAUGGCUGGCUCUAGUUGAUUAAUCUCUUCAAGACGCUAUGGAAGCUAACCCUGAAAGUGCACCUCUGCCCUAGGGGGAGACAGGUAACAGUGACAAAGUAGGAAACAGUAACCCAGGAGGACAAAAGUGAGAUAAGGGGAUAAGAAAUCUGGGGGCUGAAAACAUGGAACAUCUGGGGAGCAGGCCCCAAACUCGCUCAGCCUGUCCUGUCUUCACCCUCCUUCACCCGCUUCCUGAUUUCGGGACAGGGAAUAGUCCCAACUUCAGGCCCUCUCUGGGGCCACGGACUCUUCUGUACCCUGUGCUGUGAUCACGUGUUUACUCUGUCUCUUGCCCCAGGCCGGCUGAAGCCUACACGCCAGGGCUCCUGUCUGUGUGCCCAGGGCAGGCCCAGUACUUGAAGGGGUUCUAUGGGGACCCGGAAGGAUGGAGGGUGCAGACUGAGGGAAGCGUGAGGGAGAGG
ensembl:lncRNA